AACUCAGUCUCAGUCUGAGUCGACUAAGACUUAGAAACUGCUUCUUCCCUACAGUCUUCAUCUUUGGCUUUGGUUCCUUGCUUUAUCUUGUAUCCCCAAGUCUUCGGAGCACCAACCAAAUCCCUCAAGAUCCUCAAUAUCUAGACUUUAAACCCAUGAAAAGCUACACAUUAUUUUCAUCCUAGGACCACUCCUGUCUUA
rnacentral:lncRNA from 1 species